rnacentral:lncRNA from 1 species
CUUGACUUUUAAGGGUAAGGUCAGCUGGCAGCUCUCUACUCCAGGAAAUGAUGAUGAAGCAAAUGGUGAAUCAGUGAUGGUAGAGGAGAAUUGAGCUGAGGAGCAUCUGUACUAAUGGAACAUAAUGUUGCAUAGUUGUUGUGUUUGAAUGAGUGCUUCAGAUGAUUGUACACUGAAAUUUUCUUCAUAUUCCUUGUGAUGAUAUCCACUCUGGAAGGAAAAAUAACUUUUCUCUCUAUAAAGGCAAAAGAAACAUUAAGUGGCAUAACUCAGAGCACCUAUGUCAUUUUCUUAUGUACAAAGCAGCACCUUGGAGUCAGAAUGGCUUUCCAGUCUGGAUAAGAUUUCCCUCUAGGGCCUUUUGGUGGGUAUUUCUGCAGACACAGUCA